ensembl:miRNA
AGUAGAAAUGGGGUUUCUCCAUGUUGGUCAGGCUGGUCUCAAACUCCCAGCCUCAGGUGAUCCACCCACC